UGAAGUCCAUGAGCGACGGUAACCACCCAU
rnacentral:sRNA from 1 species